AUGGCUGCCUCCAUGAGAUUAGCGUGCCGCUUCGGUACCGGGAAGGCUACUUAGAGCAGAGUUUCCACCCCCACCCACCGACUUUAAGGAGUUUAUAAAGCGGGAGUAGUGCUCCUUCUCCUCCGUGGUCGGACGAAGAAGAUUGCAAAAAGGGGCGGGGCAGAAGCGGAAAGGCGCGCAUAAAUACGAGCGGAGAAGAAGCAAAAACUACUGGUAGUGAAAGGUUGGAGGACUUGGAGCAGGACUUGAUACCGAUGAUCAGGCCUGUAGCGGAUUCUUGCUUGUUUGUUGCCCAGAUACAAUUCGGGGACGGACAAGUGGCAGCAAGAGCCGCGUGGGUGACUUCGGCUUUCUGGAAGUGAUGCUGCGCCCCGUGUUGCUGUCGCCUUGUGUUAAAAGUUGCUCCCGGAUACUUGCUCAGUUCUGGGCUGAAGGAUGUGGAAAGCCCAGGCAGCUUUCUUCGGCUUCCUAUUGGAGCAAAGUGGUUUCGGAGGCCGAGAAAAUCGUGGGCUACCCGACCUCUUUCAUGAGCCUGCGGUGUCUCUUGAGCGACGAGCUGAGCAAUAUCGCCAUGCAGAUUCGCAAAUUGGUGGGAACCAACCACCCGUUGCUUAACACGGCCAGGGGCUUUGUGUCUGACACCAGGAAUAAUUUGCAGAUGAGAGGUCUGGUGGUUUUACUUGUGUCUAAGGCUGCUGGCCCCAAUUUGUCAAAAGAAGACUCCAUUCAGAAUGACAUUGUCAGUGGGAUAUAUUCUAGCCAAAGAACUCUUGCAGAGAUCACAGAGUUGAUCCACACAGCUUUCCUUGUGCAUCGUGGAAUAGUAAACAUUAGUGAACUGACAUCCUCAGAUGGACCUUUGAAAGAUAUGCAAUUUGGAAAUAAAAUGGCUGUCCUGAGUGGUGAUUUUCUUCUAGCAAAUGCCUGCACAAGUCUUGCUCAGCUGCAAAAUACUAAGGUGGUAGAGAUAAUGUCAAGUGCCAUUGGCGACUUAAUACAAGGAAUAUAUUGCGAAAAUUCAAGCCCGGGAAAGGAAAACAUUCUCACAGACGACAUCAGAAUAUCAGAUUGGAAAGAGCAGGUUUUCCAAUCUCAUUGUGUCUUGCUGGCAAAAAGCUGCCAUGCUGCAAUGGAGCUGGCAAAGCACGCUGUAGGAAUUCAGAAGAUGGCAUUUAAUUACGGGAAGCACAUGUCUAUGUGUCACAAGCUAAAUGCUGAUAUUCAGCCAUUUAUUGAUGGAAAUUCGAAUGAUUCCCUGCCAUUUAACUUAAAUUCUGCUCCUGUAGUAUUCCAUCAAGAGUUUGUUGGAAGAGAAGUCUGGAUUAAGCAAAUUAAAGAGACUCAAGGCGAAGAAGACUUAAUAGACUAUAGCAAGUUGCAAGAUGCAAUCAAGGCUAGCAAAGGUGUGACUUCAGCUAUUGACCUAUGUCGUUGCCAUGGAAACAGCGCACUGGAAGCUCUAGAAUCUUUCCCUCCCUCUGAGGCCAGAUCUGCCUUAGAAAACAUUGUUUAUGCUGUGACAAGAUUUUCAUAACGUAGAAUUGGGAGGGAGAAACUGCUGUUCAUUUGCGGAAACAAGCCGAACAGAACAGGCAUUGGAAUCCUAAUCUCUAACUAAAGGCAAAUCAUAAUCUCUCCUGAAUCUACGAUUGUUUCUUUCAACGCACUAACUAUUUUAGGAAACAUGAUCAAGUGGCUCAGUUCUGUUGGGAUUGUGUUAGAAAUCACUCCAUUUCCUGAAUUAAGGUUUUUGGUCUAACACUGUAAUUAGUACAGGCAGAAUGCAGAAACUGAUCCAUUCUGUACAUCUUUUUGAGAUAGCUGAAACCUAACAAAAACAAUCAGCAAUGUACUGCUGGAAAAUAGAGCAUAUUCUUUACUAACACCACAUCUCUCCUCCUACUGGCUUUUUUUCUUAUGUUUACUUUCAAUGACAGAAUUUUUUCCCCUAAGAAAGGCACACUCUAUGGUACAUCCAGGUUUUUUAUCCAGUGUUUCUAUUAAAACACUUUAAAAUGAAAGUGUCUUGGGUUACUUGUGUCAUCUAUUAGGGUUGGUGUCUUAUUUUGAAAGACCUGGGGGUGAAACCUAGUAUUUUCAUACACAGUAUAGUUAUUAACAAGAGACUCAUAAAUACUUCUGUAUUAGGUCAACCUAUCCUCUAUACCCUACAGGACAUCAAUAUCAUUUUUGUUUACUGAAGGUUUAUUAAGAAAUGAAAUCUUCAAGCAGCUGCCUGCAACAAUUCAUCUUUCUAUUCUAUAGAGUGUUUGAAUGCAGUACACAACUUAGUGGCCUUGAUCAGUAAAUUCACAUGGCUUAAAUCUAAAAGAAAAUAAACCUACAGAAGUGGAAACGAGUACACAAAGAAAAUACAUUGUUUUUGUAAUUGUUUUUCAUAUUCUUCUAAGAUUACUGACAUGCUGUAUUAUUGAUUUGGUGAUGUGCUGUAUAAAGUCAUUCUUUGCAUUAGUCAAAAGAAUACUUUGGCUCCCCCGUGUGUAACAGAUUCUCUCACAUCCACAAAAUUUCUGAAUAAAUUAUGUCACUGCAUUUUUAAUGCUUGUGCUUGAAUAAUUCUUCCAUAAUACAAAAUUGAGUGCUGUUUUUUAAAACAUUUUUGAUGAUACUUGUCAAUAGUGCAUUGUUUAAUUGUAUAACUUGUGCUUCUUGGUAAAGUACAUCAUUUUGUGAACAUCACACAUUUAAAAUAUUUUACUUAUUGCAAUAUAAGCGAUUUGAAAGUUUUAAAAAACAAGGUGGAGAUAGAAUUUUAUCUCUCCUCAAAUCAACUAAUGAAAUUGAUCAGAAAAAUAUAUGUAUAAUUACAGCAUGUAAUAAACCUGUAGAAUAAAACAGUAGAAGAUGUGAUAAUUAGUGCUGCUAAUUUUAAUGGUUUUAAAAGGGGGUUGGAUAAAUUCACGGAGGAUAGUCUAUAAUUGGUUAUUAGACUUGAGACUCAGAUUUCAAGCAAUUUUAAUUUCAAGCAAAAGCUUCAAGUCUCGUGCUUUUUCAAAAGGCAACUGGACAGUGUUCUUUCCUUGAGCAAGAGGACAUUUCACUUCUCAUCCAAGAAGCUUCAUCAGUUCUGACUGGAUGGUGGGGAGAAUCUCAGAAGCACUGAACUGUAUCUUUCAGAGAUUCUGGAGCACCAGGGAACUAUCAGAGGACUGGAAAAGAGCUGAUGUGGUUCCCAUCUUCAAAAAAGAGGAAA